GUACAAUGUUGGAAUAGACGUGGCAAGAGCAUUCUUGUUUUGUUCCCAACCUUAGCGGGUAAUGCUGUGGUUUUUCAUCGAUGCUGUUUAUCAGGUUGAAGCAGCCCCCUUCCAUUCUUAUUUUCUAUCUUGAAAAGGUGCUGGAUUUUGUCCAAUGCUUUUUCUGCAUCUGUAAAUCAUUAUGUGGACUUUGUCCUUUAUUCUAUUGAUAGGGUGUAUUACAUUGACAGAUUUUUGGAUAUUAAACCAACUUUCCAUUCCUGCGAUAAAUCCCACUUUGUCAGUGUACAAUCCUUUUUAUAUGUUGCUGGAUUUGUUUUGCCAGUUUUUUGAGGAUUUUUACAUCUAUAUUCAUAUGAUAUUGAUCUAGUUUUUUUUGUGGUAGCUUUGUUUUGGUAUCAGGUAAUGCUGGCCUCAGGGUGAGUUGGGAAAUGUUCUGCCUUAUAUUUUUUGAAAGAUUUCGUGAUCCAGCACUUUGGGAAUCUGACGGGGGCAGAUCACAAGAUCAGGAGUUUGAGAUCAGCCCGGCCAACACAGUAAAACGCCGUCUCUACUAAAAAUACAAAAAAUUAACCAGAUGUGGUGGCAGGCACCUGUAAUCCUAGCUACUGGGAGGCUGAGGCAAGGGAAUCACUUGAACCCAGGAGGCGGAGGUUGCAGCAAGCCAAGAUUGUGCCACUGCACACCAGCCCAGGCAACAGUGUGAGACUCUGCGUCAAAAAAAAAAAAAAAUUGUGAUGGUGAUAAUUCUGUAAAAGUUUGGCAGGAUUCACAAGCCUUGGCUUUCCUUUGUUGAAAGUUUGGUUACUGAUUUAAUCUGUUUGUCCUAGGAAUUUCUCCAUUUUAUCAAGGUUCAUCUGUUGGCAAACAAUCCAUGGCACUGAUACUUUGUAUUCUGUACAGUCGGCUGUGCCAUCACCUCUUUCAUUCUUGAUUUUAGUUAUUUGAACCUAUUUUUCCUUAGACUUGCUAAAGAUGUGUCAAUUUUGUUGAUCUUUUCAAAGAAUGAACCGUUGGUUUUGUUGAUUUUCUCUAUUAUUUUUCUAUUCAUUUAUUUCUACUCUCAUCUUUAUUAUUUCCUUUCUUCUGCUUCCUUUGGGUUUAGCUUGCUUUUCUUUUAGUUUGAGGUGAGACAGACAAUCUGCAAUAAAUGUAAUUAUUGACACGGUUGUUUUCAACCUACUACCGUUUUGUAUUUGUCCAUCUCGUAAGUUCUCUGUUCCCUUUUCCUUCCUUUUCAGGAUUCUUAGAUUAAGUAUUCCUUAGAACUCUUAUUUUGUCUCCUACGUUGGCUGUUUAUUUCUGUUUCACAUUUUUGUAUUGCUUUAAAGGUUCAUACCUAAAAAUUGCUUAACACUUUUAUAUAUGUUUCACAUCUUUAAUUCAUCACAAUCUGCCUUCAAGUAAUAGUGUAAGAAUCUUGACAGUAUACUUCCAUUACUCCUUUCUUCGGUGCUGUGCUAUUUUCGUCAUACAUUUUAUGUCUAUGUAUUAUUUUAAACAAUCUUACUACAAAGAAACAUGCCAACAGCAUCAACAUUACCAUUCUAUUUCUAUACUUUAGACAUACCUCAAAGGGUCAGGACACUCUAGCUCUUGGUUAGAACCCUUUUUAUGUGGUUUUUCUUUUAG
rnacentral:lncRNA from 1 species